GUUCCUUCACCUGUUUGUUUGUAUUUUCCUGUAAUUCCUUAAGGGAUGUUUGUGCUUCCUCUUGAAGGGCUUCUAACAUGAGAUGUGAUUUAAAAUCAGGUCUUGUUUUUCUGGUGUGUUGAGAUAACCAAGGGCUUGCUGUGGUGGGAGAACUGGGUUCUGUUGCUUCCAAUUAGCUUUAGUUUCUAUUAUGACCUUGCCUUUUAUCACCUGGUUAUCUCUGGUGUUAGCUGGUUUUUCUGUAUCUGUGGUUUGUCCCUCCUGGAAGCCACUGUGUUCUCCUUGGAGAUCAGUUCUCUCUGGGAGGUUUGGGCAUGGAGAGCUGUGGUCAGCUCUGGGGUGUAGACAGAAACCAGAAGGAUCCUGUUCUAGGCCCUUCCUCCUGUGUCCCUCUUGGGCUAGGAAUUUGAAGAGAAGUGGUGAUCUCACCUGAGCUCACAGUCUUGUCCAUACUCCUGGGAGCCUAGUUCUCUCCUGGAACUAUUUGGGUGUGGAGUCCUGUGGCACAGGAUUGGCUCUGGGUGCAGACAGAAACUGGAAGCUUUAGUUUGGUUUUUAAUUGGCAUAAUCUCUCAUUAUUUUCUCAACCUUGAACUAUCACUUGUCCUCCUCUUUAACACAGCAAAAGAACAUCUAAUGGGGAUCCAUGCACGGACCAUUCAUCUCUGGAAUGCUUUAGCCAUGGCCAGUGCCUGUCUGUAGUCUAUAGUCCAAUUCCCCAACAAUAGUCAGCAGCAGCUUUGAAUGAAAGUCCAAGGAUCUAGCGGUUGCUCAGUUCCACCGUGUAAGCAGGCAACGAAGAGAAAGCAGACAAACUACUUUUUUGAUGACGUUUUCUGACAUCAUUGUACAGAUAUCAGUCAACUACACACACACAGACACACACACACACACACACACACUAAAUGUUUCUAGAUUCUUCAUUCUAUUCUGUGAUCUGCAUGUCUAUGGCACCUCUUUAUCUCAGACUUCUCAUUACUCCAACUUUAAAUUCUUCACUUCCUUUAUGAAGUUUUCACACACAUAUUUUAUGACUUUAGGGUAAUAAUGUGUAGAAGCAAUUGUUGACUUUAAUUCUUAUGACAUAUUCAUGUAUACAUGAAAUCUAUUUCUGCAUAUUGUUAUUUUUUCUGCUUUAUGCUAAACUUGGAAUUUUAAAACAAAUUCUAAUAGUAUAUUUGAACAUGUAUCUGUGCUCUGGGAGUCACUAUUUCGAAGAUCAUCCCAUCUGUACACAGAAGCAGUUCUACUGUUUCUUCAUAAUACAGACUUGUUGGGUUUAUUUUCUUAUUGAAUUCUAUGGGUAGAGCCUCUACUAUAAUUUUUAACUGUGCAAGGAUCACCAGUGUAUUGUUACUAAUUCUGAAGAAAAAUAUUUAGAAUUUCGUCAUAAAAUAUGGCAUCAAUAGAAAUUUGUGGGUACUUUUUAUUAUAAAAGGAAAGUUAACCUUCAAUUUUUUUAUUAGAAAUGGGUUUUUGAUUUUGUCAGUUUUUGUUAAUUUUUAAGACAAUGGACCCUUGAGAAAUCACAGUUGUAAAGAAGGCAAACUCUAUGAAAGACUUGUUUGGCAUGUUGAGAUAUUUGAACUGUAUUGUAGCAGGUAAAAGGAAGACCCUUUUCACAAAAAGAAUGAUAUGACUAUAUCAGAUAUGACUAUCUCAUUGUGUGUAUGUAUAUGUGUAUUUAUAUGCAUAUAUACAUAUAUAUACACACUACACACACACACACACACACACAUAUAUAUAUAUACAGAGAGAGAGAGAGAGGAAGUGAGACUCACUAUAUAGCCCUGGCUGUCAGGCCAUGGACUCACAAAAGUGGCAGAAUUAAAUGUGUGUGACACUAAACCUUGUCAUAUAGCUAUAUUUUCCAUUAAAAUAUUUUCAUACAGUAUUCAGGUGUGCUGGGUAAAUCUGGAUACAGAAGAUCAUUUUGGAUGUCACUAGAAUGUAGUAGUUUUGGUUCAUGUAAUGAAGUGAUACAGAUACAGUAAAUAUGGACAUACUUGAUUGAAAUCUAGAGCUACUAAUAGCAUAAAAUUAAGAUGACUUGGAGGCACAGAAUUUGUUAUCUUUAAUUUGAAAAGGAGGAUUUUCUUUUGUUGCUAUCAGACAGACUUGAGUCUGUUUCUGCUGUAGAAAGGACCAGCCAUAAAGAGAGGGACAAAAUGUCAAAUAAGGCAGUUGGCAAAGCAGAGGAAUCAUUGAGAUGAGGAACAGAGAGUAGAGUUCAUUAUUCUCAGAUGAGAGGCAUUUCCUCUAUGUCAAGCAGGCACUGAGUGCACAUUUGAGACUUAGAAGAAGCCUAGACUCCAUUUUCAAGGCCUUAGGGAAGGGAGUGACAAGUAUAGAACAAGAUGGAUAUGUCACUUCCACUGGAAAAUUACUUGAGUGCCUGCCUGCUUAGCAGUGCUCAUCCUUGUAGCGCUCUUGUAUGGAAACAUCUCUGUCUUUGUUAAAUAUGUGAUGCUCUGAGAGGAACACAGUGAGACCUACAUAGGGAAGAGACAGCCUAAGGAAAGAAGAGACAGCCUGAAUACCACUAAAAUACAUAAGAAAAGGUCACAGGAGAGUAGCAAAGUGGGAAUGUAAAUUUAAAAGAUUACCAAUGACUGUUAAUGCUACUAUUAACUGUUGGAAAUUAUUCCUUUUGGUGAUGCAAGUCUUUGCUACUAUAGGGCAUCACCAUGCAGCUAUUGGUUGCCCAGAUGUGAGAGCAGAAAAGGUGAUGACUAGAUCCAAGGUUGGGGUUUUGUUAACUUAUAGCAAUAGCAGGCCAUAGAAAUCUGUGGUUAGAACGGGAAGGGAAUAAUUAAAAACUUUACUGAAUCCUCUCUUAUAGGUCUUGACAAGAGGCAGAGAGGAUGGAAACAUGAAUAAUUCAUAUCAUAAAUUGGAGGAAGACAUGCUUGGAGACAGGGCCAAGUCACUUCUACAAUUCCUGAUCUGUGAAAAGGACCUAAGGAAACCGUUCACCUGUCUCUUGACUGACUCAUUACAACAUAAUUGUGCUGGAAGAAAUUCACAGGAGGAUGACAAUUAGCUCUGACCCUGUGCCACCGGUCUCCAUACAUAAAUCCCACUGGGAGAGAGCUGUUCUCCUAGGAGUGCUGACACACCUGAGAGCACAGGCCUCUGCCCACUCCCUGCAAAGCAAGUUUCUGUGGAAUCAGUGUUCUAACAUUUCCCAGGCUGCACUCCACGGACUAGUGCUACCCUUUCCUUCUCCUGACUGUGUCUCCAACACACCAGGGAUAUCAUCUAUCUGCAGGUAGCUUGAAACACUAUCCUCUAGUCUAAGAGCCGCUUCACCACUGCCAUCCACAUAUCAUCAGUGUGACAACAUUGCUGGUUACUCUCCCCAAAGUCAUCCUUGAUGGGGAGAGGAGCAGAACUGGAGACAAGCUUGCUUCUAGAAUAUGAGGAGGAAUUAGCAGAAGGCUUUGGAUCUUCACUCAAGAUUCUGUAUGGGACUACACCUGGACAGUAGUGGCUGAAACAGAGCAGAUUGUAGGAAUCUGUACAAAGUCAAUGGAGAGAGAAAAGCUGGAGUUCAGAGAUAGCUGACAACACAGCCAGCCAUUUAAAUCACCACCGGAUUGAUCAAUUUGCAAGACUGGGAUGUAAGAAGAGGCUGAAGCCAGCAUUUCAGUGGAAGGCUGCUUCCUUCACCUUGAACUGCAAGUCUUUUCCUUCUUGGCAUGUCACAUAGAAACACCCCCUGCACCCUAUCUCCACUCUAAAGGAAAAGAAAUACAGAGAAUGCAUUUGCCCAUAGAGAUGGGCCAACAGCCAGUGUCAUUCUCUGAUAUAUAGCAAAGGAGGAAUUUAUUUCCAACUAGUAGAGGUUUGGGGGUGGCGGUGGGGGUAUAAAACUGUAUAGCUUCAACCCUAUGAAAUAAGGUUAGUAAAAUACAUAAACUCUGAAACAGCACUGUGAAGUAUGCCUGCAGUCAACUGCAAUUCACCAAUGGCUUUGUGAUAGAUAUCCUAGCACCUGGCUGUGUUUUUUUGUCAGCUGUGACCUGUGUGUGCCUUUCAGCAAAGUUUGCCUUCCCAAAACCCUUCUUUUUCCCCACCUGGGCAGAGGUUUUGUGCUAGUACAGCCUUGAGCUUGCUGAUUGUGGGGGGAGGGGUGGGAGGGAUGCUAGCACAGAUCUUCUGAGUGAUAGCAGUCUGGUAGCCAGCAUCUGCAUGAGACAAAAGCAUGCUACUUGUCCAGUGAAAAAUACAGCAGCAGUUGAAUAGAGCAAAAGGUAAUAAAAAAAUGCAGCUUUAAAAAAAUCAGCUCCGAUGUAUUUUUUUUAAUUAAAUGGAGAAAAAAAUCAAAGU